rnacentral:rRNA from 1 species
GACGAACGCUGGCGGCGUGCCUAAUACAUGCAAGUCGAACGCAGUGGGGACGGGUGAGUAACCCGUGGGUAACCUCCCAUCAGAGGGGAUAACGCUUGGAAUCAGGUGCUACACCGGUACUGAUGGAUGGACCCGGGGGGAAUUAGCUAGUUGGGGGGGUAACGGCUCACCAAGGCCACGAACGAUAGCCGGUCUGAGAGGGUGAUCGGCCACACGGGGACUGAGACACGGCCCAGACUCCUACGGGAGGCAGCAGUAGGGAAUAUUGGACAAUGGACGAAAGCCUGACCUAGCCACGCCGCGUGAGUGAAGAAGGCCUUCGGAUUGUAAAACUCUGUUGUUAGAGAAGCGGUACCGAACCAGAAAGCACCGGCUAACUACGUGCCAGCCGCCGCGGUAAUAC